GAGUUGUUAGUUUAAAUAAAAUAGUUGUUUUCUACACAACAGAAGCAAUUUUGUAUGGCUCA
rnacentral:tRNA from 1 species